GAUGAACGCUGGCGGCGUGCCUAAUACAUGCAAGUCGAGCGAACGGACGAGAAGCUUGCUUCUCUGAUGUUAGCGGCGGACGGGUGAGUAACACGUGGAUAACCUACCUAUAAGACUGGGAUAACUUCGGGAAACCGGAGCUAAUACCGGAUGAUAUUUUGAACCGCAUGGUUCAAAAGUGAAAGAGGUCUUGCUGUCACUUAUAGAUGGAUCCGCGCUGCAUUAGCUAGUUGGUAAGGUAACGGCUUACCAAGGCAACGAUGCAUAGCCGACCUGAGAGGGUGAUCGGCCACACUGGAACUGAGACACGGUCCAGACUCCUACGGGAGGCAGCAGUAGGGAAUCUUCCGCAAUGGGCGAAAGCCUGACGGAGCAACGCCGCGUGAGUGAUGAAGGUCUUCGGAUCGUAAAACUCUGUUAUUAGGGAAGAACAUAUGUGUAAGUAACUGUGCACAUCUUGACGGUACCUAAUCAGAAAGCCACGGCUAACUACGUG
rnacentral:rRNA from 1 species